rfam:Bacteroides sp. SM23_62 WORSMTZ_16075, whole genome shotgun sequence.
GCCAAUGUAGCUCAGCUGGUCAGAGCAGCUGAUUUGUAAUCAGCAGGUCGGGGGUUCGAAUCCCUUCAUUGGCU